rnacentral:rRNA from 1 species
UGGGGAAUAUUGCGCAAUGGGCGAAAGCCUGACGCAGCCACGCCGUGUGUGUGAUGAAGGCCUUCGGGUCGUAAAGCACUGUCGGGACUCAAGACGGCAAGGAUACCUAACACGGUCCGAGCUGACGGUAAGUCCAAAGGAAGCACCGGCUAACUCUGUGCCAGCAGCCGCGGUAAGACAGAGGGUGCAAGCGUUGUUCGGAAUUAUUGGGCGUAAAGCGCGCGUAGGCGGUCUGCAAAGUCGGGUGUGAAAUCCCGGGGCUCAACCCCGGAAGUGCAUUCGAAACUAACAGACUUGAGUCUCGGAGAGGAUGGCGGAAUUCCUGGUGUAGAGGUGAAAUUCGUAGAUAUCAGGAGGAACAUCCGUGGCGAAGGCGGCCAUCUGGACGAUGACUGACGCUGAGGUGCGAAAGCGUGGGGAGCAAACAGG